UUUGUUUUUUUUUGUUUUGCAUUUUGUUCAUGUCAUGCUUCUCAUAUCAUGUCAUCAUGUGCAUUGCAUUUGCAUACGUGUUCGUCUCUUGCAUCCGAGCAUUUUCCCCGUUGUCCGUUUUGCAAUCCGGCACUCCCAUCUCCUCCGGCGCACCCCUCUUGUUUUCUUUUCGUGAGCGGGUGUUGAACGUUCUCGGAAUAUACCGAGUCUUGUCGAGUGGCCUUGGUAUACCACCGGGAGACCACCGGUCAAGUUUCGUUCCAUUUGGAGGUCGUUUGGUACUCCAACGGUUAACCGGGCAACCGCAAAGUCCGUUUGUGUGUGCAGCAAAAACCCCUCUCUAAACAGCCCAAAACCCAGCAAACUCACUUCCAUGCUCUAGGUCGUUCGAUCACGAUCGUGUGGGCGAAAACCGCACUCCAUUUGGAGCCUCCUAGCUCCCUCUACCUAUAAAUAUGUGUCUCUCCCGAAAUUCUCGCGCAGAUCAACCCUAGCCCUGCUCCCUCUCUGCCGCCGGACGUGUCCGGUCCGGCCGGACGAAAUCCGCCGCCGGGCGUGUCCGGUCCGUCCGGACGAAAUCCGUCGCCGCGCCCGUCCAAUCAGAGGGCGCCACGUCAGCCUCCGCCGGCGCUCUCUCUCUCCUCCGCGCCGCCGGCUCCCCGAGCCCGCUCCUCCAGCCCGCGCGCGCCCCGCCUCCUUGCGCCUCCGCCUCCACGCGCCGCCGCCUUCCUCUCCGCCGGCGCCGCCGCANNNNNNNNNNNNNNNNNNNNNNNNNNNNNNNNNNNNNNNNNNNNNNNNNNNNNNNNNNNNNNNNNNNNNNNNNNNNNNNNNNNNNNNNNNNNNNNNNNNNNNNNNNNNNNNNNNNNNNNNNNNNNNNNNNNNNNNNNNNNNNNNNNNNNNNNNNNNNNNNNNNNNNNNNNNNNNNNNNNNNNNNNNNNNNNNNNNNNNNNNNNNNNNNNNNNNNNNNNNNNNNNNNNNNNNNNNNNNNNNNNNNNNNNNNNNNNNNNNNNNNNNNNNNNNNNNNNNNNNNNNNNNNNNNNNNNNNNNNNNNNNNNNNNNNNNNNNNNNNNNNNNNNNNNNNNNNNNNNNNNNNNNNCGCCCUGCCGCCGCGGACGCCGCCCCGCGCGCCCGGCGCCCCUCCCCGUCCGGCGCCUCCUCCUCUCCACAUCGCCGGCCGCCGUCUCCCCGCAGCUCCGGCGAGUUCGGCCUCCUUGAUCCCGAUCCGAUCUGGGAAAGAGCCCACGGUUGACUUUUCUCUUCUCCCCAAAAAUCACCAAGUCAUUAUAUUUUUACAGCAUGUGGACAGGUUCAUCGCAUCAUAACUCUCUGCAUAUAGCUCCGUUUCGUGCGUGUAAUAUAUCAAAAUGUUUGUCUCGUGAUCCUAUUCAUUUUGUUCUAUUGCACCAUGUUCAUUUGAGUCCAUCUUGAUGCCCAAAUCUCCGGAGCAAGAGUGCUAGUUGCUGUUAUCUGUUGUUACUUAGCAGAACUUGAGGAUUUGUUUUUUUUGUAUUUUUUAAUCUGUGCAUCUUUUGGGCAUGAGCUCUACAUGUGUUUUGUUGUAUGCCAUGCCAUCUUUACAGAGGUGUAUGCCAUGUAUUUUUGUGAUCUCUAUGGUGACUAGCACAGGCAUGCAAACUAGGCCUCGUGAUGUUUCUGAUUUCAGGGACUUAGUAAUUUCUCUAAGUCUUUGUCUGCUGUUAUUUUGUUGUCAUGUAAACUUGAUUCUACAGAGAGAUCCAUGCAUAUUUUAGAGAUGUUCAGUAAGGAUGUUGUGUAGAUAUUAUUGUAAUUGAUCCAUUCCUGCCCUUGUUUGCAAUUAUAGAGUGCCAUAGCAUGACUAAUCUUGCUCUAAUUUUGCUAUAAAAUAUUUCUGGCAGAUUGUUUACGUGUUAUUCAAUUUUGUCAAGCUUGUUGUAGUUGAUCCAUCCAUGCUAUAUAUUUGCUCUUGCCAUGGAUAGCUUCAUAAACAUGCCAUCUUGCUGUAGGUAUUCUUUUUUUGUCAUGCAUUGCUUUGUGGUGAGUGCAUCAAGCUCACCAAGAUGCCUUCAUAUUAUUGUUUCUGCCAUGCUCUGUUUUCUGCUAAGUCUGAAACCUGUUAACGAAACUUGCUAUGUUUACAUGGUUGCCAUCAUAUCUUCUUGUCCUUUUUGGCUCAUGGUCACUAAGGGACUUUUGUCAUAUGAAUUUAUUAGAAUACUGCGAUGCCUUGUUUUGCCAUGUUAAGUUCCUGUAGCAUGUUGUUUCCGUGCUCUGAAUAUUGCUACCUGAUGCUGUUUCAGCCAUGUCCAGUAAUUUCACCAAGUCUGUGAACCUGAUUUCUUUUGCACUUUUGCCAUGCUUGUUUGAGCUUGUUAUGUUGUGAUCUAGCCGUAGCUCAGUGUUCAUCUUUUGUCAAGCAUCUCCUGUAGAUUACUGCGAUAUACUUUGUUGCGAUGUUGGAGUGCUAUAGCAUUGUUACUUGUUGCAUUCUAAGUGCUAUCAUGCUGUUAAUCCCAGAUUCGUGUCAUUCUUGUUUUGCUUGCCAUUUGCAAACCGUGCAUCCGUUUCCGGUGAUCUUUAUAUCGAUUUCGACCGAAAUCAUCUCAUCUUUCCAGUGGCAUGCUUGGUUUGCCAAGUUACUACCUUGUUCAUCUUUUUCCUUCCGGAGCACGCAUAUGCAUCGCAUAUCAUAUCUUGCAUAUCAUUCAUGUUUUGCAUCAUGUUGCUUGUGCAUUUCUCGUGGUUGAUUGUGGUUCCGUUUGCUUGUGUUCUUGUUUGGGUAGAGCCGGGAGACGAGUUCAUGAACGAGGAACCUGUUGAGUACGCUUACGAGGAUCAAGCUUUCGACAACUCUGAGAACCUUGCAGGCAAGAUGACCAUACCCUCGAAAUCACUUCUAUCUUUGCUUUGCUAGUUGUUCGCUCUAUUGCCAUGUUGCGCUACCUACCACUUGCUAUAUCAUGCCUCCCAUAUUGCCAUGUCAAGCCUCUAACCAUCCUUUUCCUAGCAAACCGUUGUUUGGCUAAGUUACCGCUUUUGCUCAGCCCUUCUUAUAGCGUUGCUAGUUGCAGGUGAAGUUGAAGUUUGUUCCAUGUUGGAACAUGGAUAUUUUGGAAUAUCACAAUAUCUCUUAUUUAAUUAAUGCAUAUAUAUAUUUGGUAAAGGGUGGAAGGCUCGGCCUUAUGCCUGGUGUUUUGUUCCACUCUUGCCGCCCUAGUUUCCGUCAUACCGGUAUUAUGUUCCUUGAGUUUGCGUUCCUUACACGGUUGGGUGAUUUAUGGGACCCCCUUGACAGUUCGCCUUGAAUAAAACUCCUCCAGCAAGGCCCAACCUUGGUUUUACCAUUUGCCACCUAAGCCUUUUCCCCCGGGUUUUCGCGAGCCCGAGGGUCAUCUUUAUUUUAACCCCCCCGGGCCAGUGCUCCUUCGAGUGUUGGUACGAACUGAGUAGACUGCGGGGCCCCUUGUGGAAACUCGAGGUCUGGUUUUACUCGUAGGAUGUCUCAUCCGGUGUUGCCCUGAGAACGAGAUAUGUGCAGCUCCUAUCGGGAUUUGUCGGCACAUCGGGCGGCUUUGCUGGUCUUGUUUUACCAUUGUCGAAAUGUCUUGUAAACCGGGAUUCUGAGACUGAUCGGGUCUUUCCGGGAGAAGGUUUAUCCUUCGUUGACCGUGAGAGCUUAUGAUGGGCUAAGUUGGGACACCCCUGCAGUGUAAUAUCUUUCGAAAGCCGUGCCGGCGGUUAUGAGGCAGAUGGGAAUUUGUUAAUGUCCGGUUGUAGAGAACUUGUCACUUGACUUAAUUAAAAUACAUCAACCGUGUGUGUAGCCGUGAUGGUCUCUUCUCGGCGGAGUCCGGGAAGUGAACACGGUUUGAGUUAUGAAUGACGUAAGUAGGAGUUCAGGAUCACUUCUUGGUCAUUACUAGAUGACGACCGUUCCGUUGCUUCUCUUCUCGCUCUCUUUUGCGUAUGUUAGCCACCAUAUAUGCUUAGUGCCUGCUGCAGCUCCACCUCAUUACACAAUCCUUUCCUAUAAGCUUAAAUAGUCUUGAUCUCGCGGGUGUGAGAUUGCUGAGUCCUCGUGACUCACAGAUUCUACCAAAACAGUUGCAGGUGCCGACGAUGCCAGUGCAGUUGAUGAGAUCGACCUCAAGUGGGAGUUCGAUGAGGAACGUGGUCGUUACUAUGUGUCUUUUCUUGAUGAUCAGUAGUGGAUCCCAGUUGGGACGAUCGGGGAUCUAGCAUUUGGGGUUAUCUUAUUUUCAUUUGGAUUUUGACCGUAGUCGGUCUAUGUGUGUAUUUUGGAUGAUGUAUGGAUUAUAUUUAUGUAUUGUGUGAAGUGGCGAUUGUAAGCCAACUCUCGUUAUCCCAUUCUUGUUCAUUACAUGGGAUUGUGUGAAGAUGACCCUUCUUGCGACAAAACCACAAUGCGGUUAUGCCUCUAAGUCGUGCCUCGACACGUGGGAAAUAUAGCCGCAUCGUGGGCGUUACAAGUUGGUAAUCAGAGCCAUCCCCGACUUAGGAGCCCCCUGCUUGAUCGAAUCGCUGGCGUUGUUGAGUUUAGAACUAAAAUGUUUUGAGUCUUAGGAUUAUAUAUAUAUCGGAGAGUAGGAUUCUUUUUACUCCUCAGUCUCUUCGUCGCUCUGGUGAGGUCUCCUGACGUAGAAGUUUUGACUCUUCUCUCCUCAAAUUUCACUAAAAAAAAUUUAGGAUCACGCGGGUAUCUUAGAAUCGUUCCGAUGGUUUUGUGAUGAGAACAUUGUUCUUGGUGCCUCCUGACAUUUAGGGGUUGUGGCAGUGUCCCGGGGAGUUGAGCUCCGAGGUGUUGUCGUCACAAUUUUAUCGUUGCAGUUCUGGAAUACCUGAGUUUCGCCGACAUCGAAAUCUCUUUUAUGCAGUUGUUGGUGAGAUCACCUCGACGCCACCCAGUACUGGGGCGGGAGUUCGGGAGUAUUGCCAUAACUCGUAUAACGGAUGCUUUUCGAAGGUUGAGGUACUCGAUUUCCGAAGGUUUCUUGGUUAUGUGUUGACGGAUGGAUACAGCUGGAUCUAGGGAUUGCUAGUUUGGGUGAUAUAUUUUGUGUCCCCUGUAUCCCCAACACCAGAUUGCAUAACCAGAAAGUUUCGGGAGUUUAUAAGUGGGAAUUCAAGUAGCUCUUAGGAUAUCUUUCCGAGAGACGCAUGAUAUGAGAUUGGGGUUCGACGUCUAGUGGUCCGCCUUUCCACGGUUGGUUUUACAGUGGUCUCAUAGUGUCUUAAAGAGUCCUUGGCUAUGCCGACUCGGGGACGCUUCGUAUGUCAUGUGCACAACCUUGUACAUGAUGAUGCUGUACGAUCGAGCCCGUGUGGGCCCCACCACGAAAACUUCGGACGAAAUCUCUAUCAUAUGUUUGUUCCGGCUUAUUCUGCAAGCCAAUACUUUGUUUUGUUUUGAAUUGUGGUAUUCGAGUUGCUUCGAAGCCAAAUGUUGAUUCCAUAUUUUUUUCUAAGUGGCUUCUCAACUAAACGGAAGUGUGAUGAUUUACUAUGGAAUUCAUUCGUUCAUCCUCGUUCGAAUGUUUAUUGUGAAGACUAUAUGUUGCAAUUUCUAUCCGUUGAUUCUACUUGUCUUUUUGUCUAUCAAGAUGCUAACGGAUGUCAGCCUCUUCAGGAUGGCUCCGCCAACGCGUCAGAAUCCGGAACGCAAUGAUGGGAGUCAGGCGAACCCUCCGCCACCACCUCCGCCUCCGGAGGCAUGGCAAGCUAUCAUGGCAGCCACCAACGCCAAUGCUCAGAUGAUUCUGCAACUCUUGCAAGAACGCACCCAAGGGCAAGGCAAUCAAGGAAAUCAAGGUCAAGGCAACAAUCAGCCUCACUUCGCUACCCUCAACCAGCUUCUCGCAAAUCAGCCCAAGUCUUUCAGCUACUGUGCCGAGGCCACGGAUGCCGAUGAUUGGCUCGUGGACAUCAACAAGCAUUUUGAAUGUAGCAAUGUCAGGCCUGAGGACUAUGUCAAGUUCACUUCUUUUCAGCUCAAGGACCAAGCUGCUGAUUGGUAUCAACAAUACAAAGAUUCCAGAGGAGGUCGUGUGAUCACUUGGACUGACUUCUGUCGGGACUUCAAAGUGCACCACAUUCCACAGUGUUGUUGAGAGCAAGCGUGAGGAGUUCCGCAAUCUCAAGCAAGGCAACAUGUCUGUGUAUCAAUUCAACAUCCUGUUUCAGAAACUUGCUCGCUUCGCUAAACAAGACGUUCCAGAUGAAAAGAGCAUGAUCUAUCACUUCAGAGGUGGCCUUAGAGAGGAUCUGCAGUUAGCUCUCGUUCUUGUUGAUCCUACUCAGUUUGAUCAAUUCUACAAUAUGGCACUGAAGCAAGAGGCUGCUCAGCUCAAGUGUGAGGCUUCUAAGAAGAGAGUCAGAGACACAGUUCAGUAUUCUUCUUCCUCACUAGUGGCUGCUAAGCAACAGAAGUUCUGGUUGCCUCCUCCUCCUCCGUUUCGUCAGCCUUACCAGCAGAAGAACAAAGGUGGCCAUGGAUCUUCCCCCUCUUCCAACUCUGGCUAUCAGAACAAGUCUCAGAAUCAAGCUCCAAAGUCCAAUGCUCCUUAUCACCGUCCACUCUCAGAGGUGACUUGCAACAAGUGUCAGCAGAAAGGUCACUAUGCUAACAAGUGCUUCAACCAAAGGCGUCUUCCGCCUCCUCCUCCUGUCAGAUCUUCCAGCAAUGUAGUGGUCAAGCAUAAUCCAAAGUCUGCAAAGGUGAACAUGAUGAAUGCAGCUCAAGCAGAGGAAUCUACUGAUGUGAUAAUGGGUAAUCUCUCAGUUAAUGAUAUUCCUGCAAAAGUCUUAUUUGAUACUGGUGCAUCGCAUUCUUUUUUGUCAUACCCUUUUGCAUCGAAGCACAAUGUUGACACAGAGAUUUUAUCCAAAGUUAUGCAAGUUGUUUCUCCGGGAAAGCUUUUGACUUCUAGUUUGGUUGCUCCCGAUGUUUCCAUCAAGAUGGGGAACUAUAAAUUUCUGUUUUCUCCAGUUGUUCUUGGUGACUCGGAUAUUGAUCUAAUUCUCGGAAUGGACUGGCUUUCUAAGCACAAGGCUCAACUUGAUUGUGCUGCCAAGGAAAUUCAAUUGACACACUCUUCUGAGGAUGUUAUCAUUUAUGCCGCUCGUUAUGAAACCAUUCGGUUGUUUUCUCUCAAUGAGAAGGGCGAAUUGAAUGCCAUCUCUCAGAUUCCAGUCGUUUGUGAGUACCAAGAUGUCUUUCCAGAAGAGCUUCCGGGUAUGAAGUGGCGAUUGUAAGCCAACUCUCGUUAUCCCAUUCUUGUUCAUUACAUGGGAUUGUGUGAAGAUGACCCUUCUUGCGACAAAACCACAAUGCGGUUAUGCCUCUAAGUCGUGCCUCGACACGUGGGAGAUAUAGUCGCAUCGUGGGCGUUACAUGCAUGAUUUAAAUACUUUGUGUGGUGAAGAUAGAGCAUAGCUAGACUAUAAGAUUUUCUAGGGAUAACUUUCUUUGGCCAUGUUAUUUUGAGAAGACAUAAUUGCUUAGUUAGUAUGCUUGAAGUAUUAUUAUUUUUAUGUCAAUAUUAAAUUUUUGUCUUGAAUCUUUCGGAUCUGAAUAUUCAUACCACAAUUAAGAGAAUUACAUUGAAAUUAUGCCAACUAGCAUUCCACAUCAAAAAUUCUAUUUUUAUCAUUUACCUACUCGAGGACGGGCAUGAAUUAAGCUUGGGAAUGCUUGAUACGUCUCCAACGUAUCUAUAAUUUUUGAUUGUUCCAUGCUAUAUUAUAUUCUGUUUUGGACAUUAAUGGGCUUUGUAUACACUUUUAUAUUAUUUUUGGGACUAACCUAUUAACCAGAUGCCCAGCCCAGAAUUGUUGUUUUUUGCCUAUUUCAGAGUUUCGCAGAAAAAGAAUAUCAAACGGAGUCCAAACGGAAUGAAACCUUCAGGAACGUGAUUUGCGGAACGAACGUGAUCCAGAGGACUUGGACCCUACGUCAAGAAAGCUAAGCUACCAGGAAGGCAAGAGGUAGGGGGGCGCGCCUACCCCCUGGGCGCGGCCUCCACCCUCGUGGGCCCCACGUUGCUCCACCGACGUACUUCUUCCUCCUAUAUAUACCUACGUACCCACAAACUACCAGAUACGGAGCCAAAAACCAAAUUCCACCGCCGCAACCUUUUGUACCAGUGAGAUCCCAUCUUGGGGCCUUUUCCGGAGCUCCGCCGGAGGGGGCAUCGAUCACGGAGGGCUUCUACAUCAACACCAUAGCCUCUCCGAUGAUGUGUGAGUAGUUUACCUCAGACCUUCGGGUCCAUAGUUAUUAGCUAGAUGUCUUCUUCUCUCUCUUUGGAUCUCAAUACAAAGUUCUCCACGAUUCUCGUGGAGAUCUAUUCGAUGUAAUCUUCUUUUGCGGUGUGUUUGUUGAGACCGAUGAAUUGUGGGUUUGUGAUGUAUUUUAUCUAUGAACAAUAUUUGAAUCUUCUCUGAAUUCUUUUAUGUAUGAUUGGUUAUCUUUGCAAGUCUCUUUGAAUUAUCAGUUUGGUUUGGCCUACUAGAUUGAUCUUUCUUGCAAUGGGAGAAGUGCUUAGCUUUGGGUUCAAUCUUGCGGUGUCCUUUCCCCGUGACAGUAGGGGCAGCAAGGCACGUAUUGUAUUGUUUCCAUUGAGGAUAACAAGAUGGGGUUUAUAUCAUAUUGCAUGAGUUUAUCCCUCUACAUCAUGUCAUCUUACUUAAAUCAUUACUCUGUUCUUUUGAACUUAAUACUCUAGAUGCAUGCUGGAUAGCAGUCGAUGUGUGGAGUAGUAGUAGUAGAUGCAGGCAGGAGUCGGUCUACUUGUCGCGGAUGUGAUGCCUAUAUACAUGAUCAUACCUAGAUAUUCUCAUUACUAUGCUCAAUUCUGUCAAUUGCUCAAUAGUAAUUUGUUCACCCACUGUAAUACUUAUGCUCUCGAGAGAAGCCACUAGUGAAACCUAUGGCCCCCGGGUCUAUUUUCCAUCAUAUAAAUCUUCCAACACUUAGCUAUUUUUAUUGCCUUUUAUUUUACUUUGCAUCUUUAUCAUAAAAAUACCAAAAAUAUUAUCUUAUCAUAUCUAUCAGAUCUCACUCUCGUAAGUGACCGUUGAGGGAUUGACAACCCCUUUAUCGCGUUGGUUGCGAGGUUCUUGUUUGUUUGUGUAGGUGCGGGGGACUCGUGCGUGGUCUCCUACUGGAUUGAUACCUUGGUUCUCAAAAACUGGGGGAAAUACUUACGCUACUUUACUGCAUCACCCUUUCCUCUUCAAGGGAAAACAAACGCAGUGCUCAAGAGGUAGCAGGGCCCAGAGAUACCUCUCCGACAAUCGGAGUGACAAAUCCUAAUCUCGAAAUAUGCCAACCCAACAAGUACCUUCAGAGACACCUGUAGAGCACCUUUAUAAUCACCCAGUUACGUUGUGACAUUUGGUAGCACACAAAGUGUUCCUCCGGUAAACGGGAGUUGCAUAAUCUCAUAGUCAUAGGAACAUGUAUAAGUCAUGAAGAAAGCAGUAGCAACAUACUAAAUGAUCGAGUGCUAAGCUAACGGAAUGGGUCAAGUCAAUCACAUCAUUCUCCAAAUGAUGUGAUCCUGUUAAUCAAAUGACAACUCAUGUCUAUGGCUAGGAAACAUAACCAUCUUUGAUCAACGAGCUAGUCAAGUAGAGGCAUACUAGUGACACUAUGUUUGUCUAUGUAUUCACACAUGUAUUAUGUUUCCGGUUAAUACAAUUCUAGCAUGAAUAAUAAACAUUUAUCAUGAUAUGACGAAAUAAAUAAUAACUUUAUUAUUGCCUCUAGGGCAUAUUUCCUUCACGACAUCCCUGAUGCUUUUUCUUGGAGAUGGACAACAUUGGGUCAAUACUCGGUGUAUUCCACCCAUAGAAUGUUGUGCCAAGGCAUGCCUAGGUCCCUACUGCUCCUUGCAUUUGGAAGAGUUGGACACCUCCGAAAUGCAAAAUCUUCAUCUAGCUAGUCGUCUAAUACUAGGUAUGGACCUCCGGUCCUCGUCACCACCAUGACCUAUAAUAGACUACCUCUCCAUGCUUUAUUUCCUACCAGGAGGGCACAGUUGAUCACAUCCUCAUGCACUGUGUUUAUGCAAGAAGCCUUGGCACAAAUGCUUCAUGGAACUAAGGGCUACAACCGAACUGGGCAAAUUUGUCCCCUCAAACGUCUGUGGACACGUCGUCCGGGUGUGUCCGUUUUGAGUCUCUAUUUGUACGUGCACACAUCCAUGUCCUCAAAUUUUUUCUCUAUACGUCUAGUCACAUGCAUGAGAUUGGUGGAGAUGGAGAGAGGAAGAAAAGAGAGACAAUAAAGAUGGUCCGUGGUGGGCCAAAUCCUAUGUGGCAGACGUAGGACCACUGGCUGGAGUAUGAGUGGCGGACAACCCGAACGUUUAGGAAGGUUUUGAGGGGUCCGGUUGGGUCAAAAUUUUCUUCUUUCCUGUCCGGUCAGUGGUCAUGCAUCCACCAAGUCAAUUUGGGGAGUCCGGCUGUAGAUGCUCUAAGAAUCCAAGUGGCCAUCCCGACGACUGCAUUGAGUGGUGGUUGAGAUCUAGAAAGCCCCUACCGAAGAUCGAAGAAGGGAUUCAACUCUCUAGUCAUUGCUUGGACCGUUCGGAAAUAUGGAAUGCGGUCUUCGGGAAUAUGGACUCAUCCCGGCUCUUGUGAACCACAUUCGUGAACUCCAGACCUAGAGGGCCGUCGUAGCAGUGUUUACAACAUUUCAUGAGAGUAGCUUUUUAGGCUUGUGGUGUGGUGUCUUGUGGCAUGGGUUGCAUAACAAUACAAACUAGAUAAUUCCCCGUGUGUUGCUGCGGGAAUAUAAGGUAAAAAAACAUUGAUGAUUAACAUUUUGAUGAUCAGACAUGUUAUGAGUUUGGGGGGGGUGCAGUUUACUUUUCACUCUCCUGUAUUCAGGACUAUGUAGGUGUUGACAACGGUAAAUCCUCAUCAAUAAAAAUGUUUGGAAGUACAUCAUCAAAUACUUGGCAGUUACAUACUUUCCAAAUGUACCAGGUCUCAAGAUAACAAUUUCCAUGCCAAAUAGUUUAUUAACACAUUGUUUAAAAAUAUCUAUAUCCCUCCAAUAGUUUAGAUGCCUUUCCUCCAUCAGCAUUGCAAGACAAAUGAAAAGUCCAAGAAAAGUGCAAUUAUAUUACUCGACAUGAGCACCUUAGCUGGCAGAAGAUCUCUAAAGCAAACUAAAAUGGAUUGGAACUUGAGUUGCCCAUCAGCUGUUUGCAAUCUUUCAGUGUGGGAAAAGAUCAGGAGAGCCCUCAACUUUUAAUAUGCCCACCAAAGACUAAGCACCAUUGAAGUAGUACUUAUGGGUAGCAACUUAAAUCUGCUUAGCCUACUAACAUACUGUUCACAACUACAAAAUAAAAACAGUGUUGGAACUAUGAAGUUUCUUAGUGGAAAACAAAACAUAUCCCACCAUUAACUAUAGUGCAGAGAUGAAGUGAUUUUCCAGUAGAAAGCAACCAUUUGUUGUCAAUGAUAUACUCGACAUGGUGUUAAAUGACAGAACAUGACUGCACCUUUAAUAUUUAAUCCAUGUCUUCAUCUAUUGAGAUGGCAAUAUAGAUUACAAAGUUUCUCGGUACAGUGCCAAAACAUGAGCGGUAUGACAUCAAAUCCAUUGAUUUGUAUCUUUUAAAUUUCAAAUGAAAGUUGUUAUGUGGCCAAAGUCCUCCCCAACUUCAUCAUGACAAAAGAGAACAGAUCCGCAAGAACAGUGAAAUAAGCAUAAUGGUAUGCAUUGAUAAUCCAACUCAGCAGCCUUGCCACAUCACCAAUUACUCUUAUUUAUCUUCAGGUGCAGCUUUCCACCUCAGAAUUUUUUCCAACAAAUUCGUUCUGGUAACUGAAGCGGGCCUCUUUGGUAUUCCGUAACAGAUGAGUUGGUGUAAUAACAGACAAAGAGAAUCCCAUAGAAGCCCAUCGGCCGAUCUCUUCAUAUAUCUUAACAUCCCCUGCAUCACAAUGUCACCAACCGGAUACUUCAUAAUGUUGGGGAACGUAGUAAUUUCAAAAAAAUUCCUACGCACACACAGGAUCAUGGUGAUGCAUAGCAACGAGAGAGGAGAGUGUGUCCACGUACCCUCGUAGACCGAAAGCGGAAGCGUUAGCACAACGCGGUUGAUGUAGUCGUACGUCUUCACGAUCCGACCGAUCAAGUACCGAACGCACGGCACCUCCGAGUUCAGCACACGUUCAGCUCGAUGACGUCCCUCGAACUCCGAUCCAGCCGAGCUUGGAGGGAGAGUUUAGUCAGCAUGGCGGCGUGGUGACGAUGAUGAUGUUCUACCGACGCAGGAAUUCGCCAAAGCACCGCUACGAUAUUAUCGAGGUGGAUUCUGGUGGAGGGGGGCACCGCACACGGCUAAGAGAUCAAUGAUCAAUUGUUGUGUCUAUGGGGUGCCCCCUGCCCCCGUAUAUAAAGGAGCAAGGGGGGAGAGGCGGCCGGCCAGGAGGAGGCGCGCCAGGAGGAGUCCUACUCCCACCGGGAGUAGGACUCCCUCCCUUCCUUGUUGGAUUAGGAGAAGGGGGGAAGGAGGAGGGAGAGAGGAAGGAAAGGGGGGCGCCGCGCCCCCCUCCUUGUCCAAUUCGGACUAGAGGGGGAGGGGGCGCGCGGCCUGCCCUGGCCGCCCCUCCUCUUCUCCACUAAGGCCCAUGUAGGCCCAUUAAACCCCCGGGGGGUUCCGGUAACCCCCGGUACUCCGGUAUAUAUCCGAUAACCCCCGGAACCAUUCCGGUGUCCGAAUAUAGUCGUCCAAUAUAUCAAUCUUCAUGUCUCGACCAUUUCGAGACUCCUCGUCAUGUCCGUGAUCACAUCCGGGACUCCGAACUACCUUCGGUACAUCAAAAUACAUAAACUCAUAAUAUAACCGUCAUCAAACUUUAAGCGUGCGGACCCUACGGGUUCGAGAACUAUGUAGACAUGACCGAGACACGUCUCCGGUCAAUAACCAAUAGUGGAACAUGGAUGCUCAAAUUGGCUCCCACAUAUUCUACGAAGAUCUUUAUCGGUCAAACCGCAUAACAACAUACGUUCUUCCCUUUCUCAUCGGUAUGUUACUUGCCCGAGAUUCGAUUGUCGGUAUCUUCAUACCUAGUUCAAUCUCGUUACCGGCAAGUCUCUUUACUCGUUUCGUAAUACAUCAUCCCGCAACUAACUCAUUAGUUGCAAUGCUUGCAAGGCUUAAGUGAUGUGCAUUACCGAGUGGGCCCAGAGAUACCUCUCCAACAAUCGGAGUGACAAAUCCUAAUCUCGAAAUACACCAACCCAACAAGUACCUUUGGAGACACCUGUAGAGCACCUUUAUAAUCACCCAGUUAUGUUGUGACGUUUGGUAGCACACAAAGUGUUCCUCCGGUAAACGGGAGUUGCAUAAUCUCAUAGUCAUAGGAACAUGAAUAAGUCAUGAAGAAAGCAAUAGCAACAUACUAAACGAUCGAGUGCUAAGCAUGGGUAAAGUCAAUCACAUCAUUCUCCUAAUGAUGUGAUCCCGUUAAUCAAAUGACAACGCAUGUCAAUGGCUAGGAAACAUAACCAUCUUUUAUCAACGAGCUAGUCAAGUAGAGGCAUACUAGUGACACUCUGUUUGUCUAUGUAUUCACACAAGUAUUAUGUUUCCGGUUAAUACAAUUCUAGCAUGAAUAAUAAACAUUUAUCAUGAUAUAAGGAAAUAAAUAAUAACUUUAUUAUUGCCUCUAGGGCAUAUUUCCUUCAGUCUCCCACUUGCACUAGAGUCAAUAAUCUAGAUUACACAGUAAUGAUUCUAACACCCAUGGAGCCUUGGUGCUGAUCAUGUUUCGCUCGUGAGAGAGGCUUAGUCAACGGGUCUGCAACAUUCAGAUCCGUAUGUAUCUUGCAAAUCUCUAUGUCUCCCACCUGGACUAGAUCCCGGAUGGAAUUGAAGCAUCUCUUGAUGUGCUUGGUUCUCUUGUGAAAUCUGGAUUCCUUUGCCAAGGCAAUUGCACCAGUAUUGUCACAAAAGAUUUUCAUUGGACCCGAUGCACUAGGUAUGACACCUAGAUCGGAUAUGAACUCCUUCAUCCAGACUCCUUCAUUUGCUGCUUUUGAAGCAGCUAUGUACUCCGCUUCACACGUAGAUCCCGCCACAACGCUUUCUUUAGAACUGCACCAACUGACAGCUCCACCGUUCAAUGUAAACACGUAUCCGGUUUGCGAUUUAGAAUCGUCCGAAUCAGUGUCAAAGCUUGCAUCGACGUACCAUUUACGACUGGCUCUUUGUCACCUCAAUAAACGAGAAACAUAUCCUUAGUCCUUUUCAGGUAUUUUAGGAUGUUCUUGACCGCUGUCCAGUGAUCCACUCCUGGAUUACUUUGGUACCUCCCUGCUAAACUUAUAGCAAGGCACACAUCAGGUCUGGUACACAGCAUUGCAUACAUGAUAGAGCGUAUGGCUGAAGCAUAUGGAACAUCUUUCAUCUUCUCUCUAUCUUCUGCAGUGGUCGGGCAUUGUGUCUUUCUCAACUUCACACCUUGUAACACAGGCAAGAACCCUUUCUUUGCUUGAUCCAUUUUGAACUUCUUCAAAACUUUGUCAAGGUAUGUGCUUUGUGAAAGUCCAAUUAAGCGUCUUGAUCUAUCUCUAUAGAUAUUGAUGCCUAAUAUAUAAGUAGCUUCACCGAGGUCCUUCAUUAAAAAACUCUUAUUCAAGUAUCCCUUUAUGCUAUCCAGAAAUUCUAUAUCAUUUCCAAUCAGCAAUAUGUCAUCCACAUAUAAUAUCAAAAAUGCUACAGAGCUCCCACUCACUUUCUUGUAAAUACAGGCUUCUCCAAAAGUUUGUAUAAAACCAAAUGCUAUGAUCACACUACCAAAGCAUUUAUUCCAACUCCGAGAGGCUUGCACCAGUCCAUAAAUGGAUCGCUGGAGCUUGCACACUUUGUUAGCUCCUUUUGGAUCGACAAAACCUUCCGGUUGCAUCAUAUACAACUCUUCUUCCAGAAAUCCAUUCAGGAAUGCAGUUUUGACAUCCAUUUGCCAAAUUUCAUAAUCAUAAAAUGUGGCAAUUGCUAACAUGAUUCGGACAGACUUAAGCAUCGCUACGGGUGAGAAAGUCUCAUCGUAGUCAAUCCCUUUGAACUUGUCGAAAACCUUUCGCAACAAGUCGAGCUUUAUAGACAGUAACAUUACCGUCAGCGUGAGUCUUCUUCUUGAAGAUCCAUUUAUUCUCAAUGGCUUGCCGAUCAUCGGGCAAGUCAACCAAAGUCCACACUUUGUUCUCAUACAUGGAUCCCAUCUUAGAUUUCAUGGCCUCAAGCCAUUUUGCGGAAUCUGGGCUCACCAUCGCUUCUUCAUAGUUCGUAGGUUCAUCAUGGUCUAGUAACAUAACCUCCAGAACAGGAUUACCGUACCACUCUGGUGUGGAUCUUACUCUGGUUGACCUACGAGGUUCAAUAACAACUUGAUCUGAAGUUUCAUGAUCAUCAUCAUUAACUUCCUCACUAAUUGGUGUAGGUGUCACAGGAACCGGUUUCUGUGAUGAACUACUUUCCAAUAAGGGAGUAGGUACAGUUACCUCAUCAAGUUCUACUUUCCUCCCACUCACUUCUUUCGAGAGAAACUCCUUCUCUAGAAAGAUUCCAAAUUUAGCAACAAAAGUCUUGCCUUCGGAUCUGUGAUAGAAGGUGUACCCAACAGUCUCUUUUGGGUAUCCUAUGAAGACACAUUUUUCCGAUUUGGAUUCGAGCUUAUCAGGUUGAAGCUUUUUCACAUCAGCAUCGCAGCCCCAAACUUUAAGAAACGACAACUUUGGUUUCUUGCCAAACCACAGUUCAUAAGGCGUCGUCUCAACGGAUUUUGAUGGUUCCCUAUUUAACGUGAAUGCAGCCGUCUCUAAAGCAUAACCCCAAAACGAUAGCGGUAAAUCAGUAAGAGACAUCAUAGAUCGCACCAUAUCUAGUAAAGUACGAUUACGACGUUCGGACACACCAUUACGCUGUGGUGUUCCGGGUGGCGUGAGUUGCGAAACUAUUCCGCAUUGUUUCAAAUGAAGACCAAACUCGUAACUCAAAUAUUCUCCUCCACGAUCAGAUUGUAGAAACUUUAUUUUCUUGUUACGGUGAUUUUCAACUUCACUCGAAAUUCUUUGAACUUUUCAAAUGUUUCAGACUUAUGUUUCAUUAAAUAGAUAUACCCAUAUCUACUUAAAUCAUCUGUGAAGGUGAGAAAAUAACGAUACCCGCCGCGAGCCUCAAUAUUCAUCGGACCACAUACAUCUGUAUGUAUGAUUUCCAACAAAUCUGUUGCUCGCUCCAUAGUUCCGGAGAACGGCGUUUUAGUCAUCUUGCCCAUGAGGCACGGUUCGCAAGUACCAAGUGAUUCAUAAUCAAGUGGUUCCAAAAGUCCAUCAGUAUGGAGUUUCUUCAUACGCUUUACACCGAUAUGACCUAAACGGCAGUGCCACAAAUAAGUUGCACUAUCAUUAUCAACUCUGCAUCUUUUGGCUUCAAUAUUAUGAAUAUGUGUAUCACUACUAUCGAGAUUCAACAAAAAUAGACCACUCUUCAAGGAUGCAUGACCAUAAAAGAUAUUACUCAUAUAAAUAGAACAACCAUUAUUCUCUGAUUUAAAUGAAUAACCGUCUCGCAUCAAACAAGAUCCAGAUAUAAUGUUCAUGCUCAACGCUGGCACCAAAUAACAAUUAUUCAGGACUAAAACUAAUCCCGAAGGUAGAUGUAGAGGUAGUGUGCCGACCGCGAUCACAUCGACUUUGGAACCAUUUCCCACGCGCAUCGUCACCUCGUUCUUAGCCAAUCUUCGCUUAAUCCGUAGUCCCUGUUUCGAGUUGCAAAUUUUAGCAACAGAACGAGUAUCAAAUACCCAGGCGCUACUAUGAGCAUUAGUAAGGUACACAUCAAUAACAUGUAUAUCAUAUAUACCUUUGUUCACCUUGCCAUCCUUCUUAUCCGCCAAAUACUUGGGGCAGUUCCGUUUCGAGUGACCAGUCUGUUUGCAGUAGAAGCACUCAGUCUCAGGCUUAGGUCCAGACUUGGGUUUCUUCUUCUGAGCAGCAACUUGUUUGCUGUUCUUCUUGAAGUUCCCCUUCUUCUUCCCUUUGCCAUUUUUCUUGAAACUGGUGGUCUUGUUGACCAUCAACACUUGAUGCUCCUUCUGGAUUUCUACCUCCGCAGCCUUUAGCAUUGCGAAGAGCUCAGGAAUUGUCUUAUCCAUCCCUUGCAUGUUAUAGUUCAUCACGAAGCUCUUGUAGCUUGGUGGCAGUGAUUGAAGAAUUCUGUCAAUGACGCUAUCAUCCGGAAGGUUAACUCCCAGUUGAAUCAAGUGAUUGUUAUACCCAGACAUUUUGAGUAUAUGCUCACUGACAGAACUAUUCUCCUCCAUCUUACAGCUGUAGAACUUAUUGGAGACUUCAUAUCUCUCAAUCCGAGCAUUUGCUUGAAAUAUUAGCUUCAACUCCUGGAACAUCUCAUAUGCUCCAUGAUGUUCAAAACGUCGUUGAAGUCCCGGUUCUAAGCCGUAAAGCAUGGCACACUGAACUAUCGAGUAGUCAUCAGCUUUUCUCUGCCAGACGUUCAUAACAUCUGAUGUUGCUCCUGCAGCAGGUCUGGCAGCUAGCGGUGCUUCCACGACGUAAUUCUUCCAUGCAGCAAUGAGGAUAAUCCUCAAGUUACGGACCCAGUCCGUGUAAUUUCUACCAUCAUCUUUCAACUUUGCUUUCUCAAGGAACGCAUUAAAAUUCAACGGAACAACAGCACGGGACAUCUAUCUACAAUCAACAUAGACAAGCAAAAUACUAUCAGGUACUAAGUCCAUGAUAAAUUUAAGUUCAAUUAAUCAUAUUACUUAAGAACUCCCACUUAGAUAGACAUCCCUCUAAUCCUCUAAGUGAUCACGUGAUCCAAAUCAACUAAACCAUGUCCGAUCAUCACGUGAGAUGGAGUAGUUUCAAUAGUGAACAUCACUAUGUUUAUCAUAUCUACUAUAUGAUUCACGCUCGACCUUUCGGUCUCAGUGUUCCGAGGCCAUAUCUGUUAUAUGCUAGGCUCGUCAAGUUUAACCUGAGUAUUCCGCGUGUGCAACUGUUUUGCACCCGUUGUAUUUGAACGUAGAGCCUAUCACACCCGAUCAUCACGUGGUGUCUCAGCAUGAAGAACUUUCGCAACGGUGCAUACUCAGGGAGAACACUUAUACCUUGAUAAUUUAGCGAGAGAUCAUCUUAUAAUGCUACCGUGAAUCAAAGCAAGAUAAGAUGCAUAAAAGAUAAAAUCACGUGCAAUCAAUAUAAGUGAUAUGAUAUGGCCAUCUUCUUCUUGUGCUUGUGAUCUCCAUCUCCAAAGCACCGUCAUGAUCACCAUCGUCACCGGCGCGACACCUUGAUCUCCAUCGUAGCAUCGUUGCCGUGUCGCCAACUUAUGCUUCUACGAUUAUCGCUACCGCUUAGUGAUAAAGUAAAGCAUUACAGGGCGAUUGCAUUGCAUACAAUAAAGCGACAACCAUAUGGCUCCUACCAGUUGCCGAUAACUCGGUUACAAAACAUGAUCAUCUCAUACAAUAAAAUUUAGCAUCAUGCCUUGACCAUAUCACAUCACAACAUGGCCUGCAAAAACAAGUUAGACGUCCUCUACUUUGUUGUUGCAAGUUUUACGUGGCUGCUAUGGGCUGAGCAAGAACCGUUCUUACCUACGCAUCAAAACCACAACGAUAGUUCGUCAAGUUAGUGCUGUUUUAACCUUCUCAAGAACCGGGCGUAGCCACACUCUGCUCAACUAAAGUCGGAGAAACUGACACCUGCCAGCCACCUGUGUGCAAAGCAUGUCGGUAGAACCAGUCUCGCGUAAGCGUACUCGUAAUGUCGGUCCGGGCCGCUUCAUCCAACAAUACCGCCGAACCAAAGUAUGACAUGCUGGUAAGCAGUAUGACUUGUAUCGCCCACAACUCACUUGUGUUCUACUCGUGCAUAUAACAUCUACGCAUAAAACCAGGCUCGGAUGCCACUAUUGGGGAACGUAGUAAUUUCAAAAAAAUUCCUACGCACACACAGGAUCAUGGUGAUGCAUAGCAAUGAGAUGGGAGAGUGUGUCCACGUACCCUCGUAGACCGAAAGCGGAAGCGUUAGCACAACGCGGUUGAUGUAGUCGUACGUCUUCACGAUCCGACCGAUCAAGUACCGAACGCACGGCACCUCCGAGUUCAGCACACGUUCAACUCGAUGACGUCCCUCGAACUCUGAUCCAGCCGAGCUUUGAGGGAGAGUUUCGUCAGCACAACGGCGUGAUGACGAUGAUGAUGUUCUACCGACGCAAGGCUUCGCCUAAGCACCGCUACGAUAUUAUCGAGGUGGAUUCUGGUGGAGGGGGGCACCGCACACGGCUAAGAGAUCAAUGAUCAAUUGUUGUGUCUAUGGGGUGCCCCCUGCCCCCGUAUAUAAAGGAGCAAGGGGGGAGAGGCGGCCGGCCAGGAGGAGGCGCGCCAGGAGGAGUCCUACUCCCACCGGGAGUAGGACUCCCUCCCUUCCUUGUUGGAUUAGGAGAAGGGGGAAGGAGGAGCGAGAGAGGAAGGAAAGGGGGGGCGCCGCCCCCCUCCUUGUCUAAUUCGGACUAGAGGGGGAGGGGGCGCGCGGCCUGCCCUGGCCGCCCCUCCUCUUCUCCACUAAGGCCCAUGUAGGCCCAUUAAACCCCCGGGGGGUUCCGGUAACCCCCGGUACUCCGGUAUAUAUCCGAUAACCCCCGGAACCAUUCCGGUGUCCGAAUAUAGUCGUCCAAUAUAUCAAUCUUCAUGUCUCGACCAUUUCGAGACUCCUCGUCAUGUCCGUGAUCACAUCCGGGACUCCGAACUACCUUCGGUACAUCAAAAUACAUAAACUCAUAAUAUAACUGUCAUCAAACUUUAAGCGUGCGGACCCUACAGGUUCGAGAACUAUGUAGACAUGACCGAGACACGUCUCCGGUCAAUAACCAAUAGUGGAACCUGGAUGCUCAUAUUGGCUCCCACAUAUUCUACAAAGAUCUUUAUCGGUCAAACCGCAUAACAAUAUACGUUGUUCCCUUUGUCAUCGGUAUGUUAGUUGCUCGAGAUUCGAUCGUCAGUAUCUCAAUACCUAGUUCAAUCUCGUUACCGGUAAGUCUCUUGACUCGUUCCGUAAUACAUCAUCCCGCAACUAACUCAUUAGUUGCAAUGCUUGCAAGGCUUAAGUGAUGUGCAUUACCGACAAUCGGAGUGACAAAUCCUAAUCUCGAAAUACGCCAACCCAACAAAUACCUUUGGAGACACCUAUAGAGCACCUUUAUAAUCACCCAGUUACGUUGUGACGUUUGGUAGCACACAAAGUAUUCCCCCGGUAAACGGGAGUUGCAUAAUCUCAUAGUCAUAGGAACAUGAAUAAGUCAUGAAGAAAGCAAUAGCAACAUACUAAACGAUCGAGUACUAAGCUAACGGAAUGGGUCAAGUCAAUCACAUCAUUCUCCUAAUGAUGUGAUCCCGUUAAUCAAAUGACAACUCAUGUUAAUGGCUAGGAAACAUAAUCAUCUUUGAUCAACGAGCUAGUCAAGUAGAGGCAUACUAGUGACACUCUGUUUGUCUAUGUAUUCACACAAGUAUUAUGUUUCCGGUUAAUACAAUUCUAGUAUGAAUAAUAAACAUUUAUCAUGAUAUAAGGAAAUAAAUAAUAACUUUAUUAUUGCCUUAGGGCAUAUUUCCUUAACAUAAUUCAGUGCCAUCUGGUGUUCAUUGACAAUUCAUGGCAUGAUGGUCCGAUUGAUACUGUGAGUGUUACUAUUUUAAGAAAUAAACAUGCAGGAGCCCCUCUCUUCUCGAAGCCAAACAAACGUUCCGAGGAGUACUGACAACAAAAUCUCCUCGAAACAAACACCAAUUUGCAGAUUGAUUUAGUGAUAGAACUAUAAUCUGGUGCGAAAAGAUAGCAACAUGGUGUAUCGUAAUUGGACAAAAACUAUGUAAACUAUGUGUAUCUAAUAAUUUAGAUAAACUUAUCAAUUGAACUCCAUUCUACGGUGACAUCUAUACUGAAGCAAAACCCACAGUAAUUUGAGCAAGGGAGGUAGUGAGGGAGAGAACCUCGGAAGAAAUCGACAGCAGCGUGGAGGAGUUGUCAAGGCCAAGAGGAGGAGGCGCGCAGGUUGAAGGACCGGCCUCCAACACGCCGCAGUGGAGCAACUCCAGGCAAGGGACGCCGCCUAUGAAGCGAUGCCCACCCGUCACCGGAAGGUCCGGAACGAACCUGAGGUUGGAGACGAUGGAGCGAUGCCACUCCACAGAUUUAGCGGGGGCAGGGGAGGUCGCCGAGAGGCCGCUGGGUCGUUGCUUCAGGGCAGGUGGUCGGGUUUGGGCGCGUCGAGGCCGCAGGGUAGCGAUGCGGUCCCACUGUGUGCUCAGCGGCGGAUUUGGCUGGCGUGCCUUAGAUAUUAUAGAUAUGAUACACAAUUUCCAUACUCUCGAGGAAAAAAUCGACACGGGCCAAGCAAAGUUUCACACUAAUCAUUUGGUGACAACGAAUGGUGGUAGUAGUGGACGCAUCCUCCAUUCAGAUUUCGUUACGUGGAUACGUGCCGAUUGUUUUGCCUUUUAUUGCACGCUUAUGUGUGCUCGACCUUUUGUUUUUGCUUCUAGAGGUAGAACAGAUUCAAUUUAACAAUGAACAAACUUAAAUUUUCUAUAUCGGUUUCCAUAUAUGAUAUGGAAACAUCUUGCAUGUCAAACAUAUUCAGAGAAGGCAUGCCUAUUUCACCAUUUGCAUUGAUAAUUUAAUAGAGCAGACAUUGACCUAUUGCAACAACCUGCUACUGCGCAUGCACACCUUAUUACAAAGCUGACAGGACGAUCACCUAAAGAAGCAACAAAACAGCGGACACGGCGACCGCGCCGAGCAGACCAACUCCGCCGGAGACGGCGUGACGGGAAGAGGAGCUUGCCGGACCAGGCGCUGGGUCGGGCGCGUGAUGAUGUGGUGACGGCGCAGGGGAGUGCUGAGUGGGCGCGUGAGCCGCCGCUGUAACUUGUGCGCUGCCAAGCCGCUCGGUAUGGUUGGGGCCGGAUGCCGACGAGGACGGAGAGUGCGCCGGAGCAUGGUGAUGAUGAUGAUGGCGAUGGCGAUGGUGGUGGUGGUGAGCCGGCGCCGGUGCUGUAGCGUGGUGGCCGUGGUGGUGCGGGCUUGGUGCCUUGUGCAGCUCGUCGACAUCCGUGAUUGUAGCAGUGUCCAGCUCGUCGGCGUCGAUGUGGUGGGUCGGCGACGGGGCCGCAGCAUGGUGGUGGAUCGGCGAAGGCGCCGGAGCUUGGUGAUGAUGGUGGUGGCUCGGCGACGGGGCCNNNNNNNNNNNNNNNNNNNNNNNNNNNNNNNNNNNNNNNNNNNNNNNNNNNNNNNNNNNNNNNNNNNNNNNNNNNNNNNNNNNNNNNNNNNNNNNNNNNNNNNNNNNNNNNNNNNNNNNNNNNNNNNNNNNNNNNNNNNNNNNNNNNNNNNNNNNNNNNNNNNNNNNNNNNNNNNNNNNNNNNNNNNNNNNNNNNNNNNNNNNNNNNNNNNNNNNNNNNNNNNNNNNNNNNNNNNNNNNNNNNNNNNNNNNGGUGGUGGUGGUGGCGGCUCGGCGACGGGGCCGGAGCGUGGUGGUGAUGGUGGUGGCUCGGCGACGGGGCAGGAGCGUGGUGGUGAUGGUGGUGGCUCGGCGACGGGGCAGGAGCGUGGUGAUGAUGAGCGCUCGGCGCGGGGGCAAGAUGGCCAUGAUGGUGAGCGGGGCUCGGCGCUUGAGCCGGCGCGUGGUGGUGGUCCUCGUGCGCCGAGGAGAGCGCGGCCAGCAAGGCCAGCAGCAGUGCCAUCACCACGGCGGUUGGCGAGAGAGGAGUCGCCAUGGCGAGAAGCUUUGGGAGUGGUGGUGGUGGAAUUAUUGCUGUGGUUGUGACAGUCGGGGAGCGCGUCUAUAUAUAGCGACGAGCACUCGUAUCUGGAAGAGGGGAGCGGGCCGUCGUCUCUACUAUGGAAAGUAUUCAAUCUUGCGCAUUAAUGCUUACUAUAGAAAUGCGAUUUCGAUUGAUUCGUUUCCGAUCGUCGAAUUCGCUACACUGGCAGGAAAUAAAUGGGUGCCAGUUAUUCGUAUAUACUGUACUAGCUGGCAGCAUUACGCUGGUAACAUACGGACAUUUGACUGUGAUCUGUCGAAUACCGUGUGACCGUUGAGUAUAUAUACGAUAUUUACAUUGUUGCCCACAGAAAAUCUCGACCAUUUAUUAGAAAAAUCAUAAUUGCAUCAUGAUUAAUAAAAUUAUAUAAAUCUUCCUAAGAAAAAGAGAGGGAAAAAUCUACGACGCUUACAGUAGGCGGCUAAGGCCCAAGGGGCCGUCUGAUCCGGCAAGGUGCUGGCUGGAGCCGGCCCAAAUGUGCAGCGCGCUGGAUCAACCGACGGCUUUGGGCAUGCCAUCCGCCGAGCCCCCCAAGAAAAAUACUCCCUCCGUUCCUUGAUAUAACUAAUGAUGUACAUUGUCUCAAAAGAAAAAACUAAUGAUGUACAAAACUUGGAAGAAAGAACUCGUAGCAUGGAGGUGCACGUUGCAAAAAAUUAUAGAGAGCCCAACAUUGAUUCUAGCCAAGUUCGUUGGAAAGCCAGAACCUAAUCCGGCUAAGAGUGUGCAGAUGAUGGGUGUGAGUCGUUAGACAGCGAUCCAUUCGCGCCGCCCGCAACCUCCAGUUCUCCCGUGCUCCUCAUCUCGCCACCGCAUGAGGUCCUACCAGCGAAGUCCAGGCGGGGCCGGGGACGACAACGACUGGGCGCUUCCCUGCGGCGCCAUCCCUCUCUCCUGGUCUGGUUUCCGUCGAUGGCUGCGACCCGCGGGCGGCACCAGCUAGAUCUGCGGUGGACUGCGUCGGUGGGAUCCGAUGCUCUCCGGUGGGUGUCCGAUGGGGAUCGGCGAUAGUGCGGGAGGUCCCGGUGCGUGGCGGGGCGGCGGUGGGCUGCCAGAAUCGGGGAGGUGGCGCUCUGGUGCUUCCACGCGGCGGUUUCCUCAGGCAGUGUGGGACGGUCUCCUUACUAUGCGGGAUAGGGGCUGCUCGUGCCAUGCCAAGGCCGGCGGCAGCGGUAGUGGUGUGCAUGUGAGACGGCGAUCGGUGGCGUCCUAGACCUAGGGUUAAGUUGUCGUGGGCCUCGAGGGCUGGACCAGAUCUGGCUUGUGGAGGGCCACCACUCUAGUGGCUCGUCUUCUAGGGCUGCCCUAGAGACGAUGCUGGUUGACCUCUUGGACCCGCACCCCCCCACCAUGGUGGGGCUCUCUGCACGUGGACCGACAUUCACUAAUGCAGAAAGGGUCUUGCACGUGGACCAUUAUAAUUUCUCACCUAGAGGCGUCUAAUACACUAUGCACGCCACCAACGUUUUGUGCAGUCAAAAAAUAAUAAUUUUGCACCAUCAUAUAACAAUUUGCAUCUCACAUUGCAGUGGCACAUAUAAAACAGCACAUAAUAGACCAGCAAUAAGUUGAACGAUGGACAAACAUAUGUAGUUAUAUAAAACAAUAUGAGUUAAAUAAACACAAUCUCACAAACACUAGCUAGGUAGUCAUUGUCAACCUGCAUACAUCAUGGCGAACUAAUAUAUAAGCAGUUUACUUAGUAGCAUCGAUGGCCCAGCCACACACAUACUUUUAAAUGAUGUCAAUGAUGAUCAUCAUUCUCAAGUUAUGGUGUCUGGUGUUUCUGAUAGUGACUAAGACCGCCUGUCCAACCUGGAGAUUCUUGCCAAGAGGAAGUUAUUCCUCCCCACCGAGCUUAAGAUAGUGCGACCUUCCGUGUCCACCACGUACACACAGGUGGUGACGGAUCCCCAUGCGGUAAGGCGUACUCCAGUAUAGGCUGGUUGAUCAGGAUCGAUACCACACUUCAAAGAUAGCCUUUUAAGCAAUUUCCAAAGAAAAAAAAUAUCAAUUAAGUAGACUCGCACAUACUCUUGCACGAAUAUCAUACAUAUUUCCUACACUAUGAUAAAUGACCAUGUCAUGCGUAGUUAUCAAAAAAGCAUACAAUUCAUAGAUAUCAUCAGAUUCUACAUUACCAAAUCGAACUCUACUAAGUAUGGAUUUUACACGAGUAAGCAAACCAUGUAUUCUACACACUACUAAAUUUCUACUAAGUAUGGAUUUGUACACUAAAAAUAUUUAACCGAAUAAAAUUCUACACAAAGCAAUCCAUGAAUUCUACACUACUAGAUCGGAUUCUACUAAGUAUGGAUUAUACACUAGUAAGCAAAUCCAUGGAUUCUACACACUACUAAAUUUCUACUAAGUAUGAAUUUCUACACUAAAAUAAUUACACAACUAAAUUUCUACUAAGUAUGGAUUCUACACUAAAAAAACUACACUACUGAAAUUCUGUUUUUUGUGGGAAAACUUCCGAUCUAUUGAUCUUCAAUCAUGGUAGUAUAACGAACACUAGAAAUAAUAAAAAAUACAUCCAGAUCCGUAGACCAUAUAGUGACGACUACAAGCACUGGAUCGAGACGAAAGCGCGUCGCUGUCAUUGCCCCACCCUCGUUGGAGCCGGGCAAAACUUGUUGUAGUAGACAGUCGGGAAGUUGUCGUGCUGCACACGCCCACCGACGAUGCUAGAAGCACCACCGGAACGGGGCCUAGGCGGGGAGAACCUUAUUCCAUCUUCAAGUAGUCGUCGACGUCUCGUCUUCUGAGUAGGACACAUACCCUAACAAAACUCAAAAAAGAUCUAAAAAUGGAGCCCUCCCAUCGGCAAGGGCCGUGAUAUCCACUCCACUCCCAUGGCCCUAAGGCCACCAAAGACUAGGCGGACCGCCGGCGGUGCCGACGGGAGGCAAAGAAACCCUAGCCUUUUAGGAGUACACUACUAAAAUUCAACACAAAGCAAUGCAUGGAUUCUAUACUACUAAAUCAGAUUCUACUAAGUAUGGAUUUUACACUACCAAGAAUUCCAUGUAUUACUAAACUAAGCAUAUCAUCCGACUCUACGUUAAGCAUAUCAUGAAAUUACUACAGUAAGCAUAUCAUCAAAUUACUACACUAAGUAACACCAGUGACAUGGCGGGUAAUUGGUCCUUGUCAGACAGAUCACAAAUGGCACCCCGACGUAGUCAUCACGUGAUGGAAGUAUAUACCAGAGGUUGCCCGUCUAAUCCUCGCUCAGCCUCAUUCUUUGGGCACAAAGGGCUUCAUCAAGUGGGUCCUCAUCUUCUUCUUCCGUGUUGAGAUAGAUGCCAGCCAACCUGGGUCUUCGUCCUCUGAAAGAGAAGCUGAUCAAUUCACCCCUAGUGAGACGCAUGUGGACGAUGACACGAUCCCAUCCAUCUCCUCCCAUCUGGGACAUCUUUAGUCCUUUCUCAACCUCCAAAGUGUAGCCCCCCCAGGAGCCUCGAAGGUCACAAUGUCUCUGGUCAGCUCAUUGAAUUCCAACCUCACAUUACAUGGGAUGAUCUAUGUAAGAAAACACACACACACACACACACACACACACAAAAUGCAUUAAUGGUAAUAGCAAUAAAAACCAAAGAAAUAACUGUUAGAAGGUUCAUAUAAUUUGUUACCACUACAGGAACAAAACUUGGCUGGAAAUAGAUGCCAAACAACAUGCCAGUUUCAAGGAUGCUGGCCCACCUUGAUUUGCAGACAUGGUGGUGGUGGCGCCAUUUUCCUAUUAGUGAAGAUAAUUGUGGCGCCCGGAUAGUUACGCUACAGUAACCCUCCGCUAAUGAUGCCACGUCGUCACGAUUACUGUUGUUAAUCUUGUGAGGAUUCAAAUCCCGUUCAAAUUUCAAAUUUAAAAUCAAGUCAAACAAUUAAAGUUUUCAAAAGUCAAAACUAAAAUGUUCUUAAUGUGACAAAUAAAUCAUGGAUAUUAUUGGUGGAGAAACAACAUCUUUAUAAAAUAAUGAAAUACCCUAAAGUGAUUAAAACAACAACAAAACAAUUAGUUAUACUCCUAAUAUAUUUUACAAAAUGCUAAACUAUUUUAGCUAGGUGCCAAAGUUAUUGUGGCAGUGGUAUAAUUAAUGUUACAAUGUUAGGUGCUAAUUGAAUAUUUUACCAAACUAAAACAAUUUGGGAAAUAAAAUUAAAACAGAAAAGAAAAUAAAUAAAAGGUAAAAGACAAAACAAAAAUGAAAAAGGACCCCCUCACUGGCCUUUGGCCCGGCAGGCCACCAGGCCGCCCAGCCGGCCCACCAGGCCCGGGCCACCCCCCUCAGUCCCCAUAACCUCCCCCCACCGACGGGAAACCCUAGCCCAUNNNNNNNNNNNNNNNNNNNNNNNNNNNNNNNNNNNNNNNNNNNNNNNNNNNNNNNNNNNNNNNNNNNNNNNNNNNNNNNNNNNNNNNNNNNNNNNNNNNNNNNNNNNNNNNNNNNNNNNNNNNNNNNNNNNNNNNNNNNNNNNNNNNNNNNNNNNNNNNNNNNNNNNNNNNNNNNNNNNNNNNNNNNNNNNNNNNNNNNNNNNNNNNNNNNNNNNNNNNNNNNNNNNNNNNNNNNNNNNNNNNNNNNNNNNNNNNNNNNNNNNNNNNNNNNNNNNNNNNNNNNNNNNNNNNNNNNNNNNNNNNNNNNNNNNNNNNNNNNNNNNNNNNNNNNNNNNNNNNNNNNNNNNNNNNNNNNNNNNNNNNNNNNNNNNNNNNNNNNNNNNNNNNNNNNNNNNNNNNNNNNNNNNNNNNNNNNNNNNNNNNNNNNNNNNNNNNNNNNNNNNNNNNNNNNNNNNNNNNNNNNNNNNNNNNNNNNNNNNNNNNNNNNNNNNNNNNNNNNNNNNNNNNNNNNNNNNNNNNNNNNNNNNNNNNNNNNNNNNNNNNNNNNNNNNNNNNNNNNNNNNNNNNNNNNNNNNNNNNNNNNNNNNNNNNNNNNNNNNNNNNNNNNNNNNNNNNNNNNNNNNNNNNNNNNNNNNNNNNNNNNNNNNNNNNNNNNNNNNNNNNNNNNNNNNNNNNNNNNNNNNNNNNNNNNNNNNNNNNNNNNNNNNNNNNNNNNNNNNNNNNNNNNNNNNNNNNNNNNNNNNNNNNNNNNNNNNNNNNNNNNNNNNNNNNNNNNNNNNNNNNNNNNNNNNNNNNNNNNNNNNNNNNNNNNNNNNNNNNNNNNNNNNNNNNNNNNNNNNNNNNNGGCGCCUCGCCUACAACGGCGCCCGCUGCCGAGUGCCCGCUCGGGUGACACCCGCACCCGAGCGCCCGAACCCGUUAAGGCCCCUGGCCCAAUGACAGUCGGGACCCUAGUACCAGAACGUUAAAAAAAGGAAUUAAAGAAAAUAGUAAAUAAGAAAUAAAAAUAUUAACUAAUUAAUUAAUUAACUAAAUUAAUUAAACUUAAUUAAUCCUGUUUAAUUAACCUAAUUAGCUAAUUAACCUAAUUAACUAAUGUUAAUUAACUAAACAGUCAAUGACAUGCGGGACCCUCCCGUCAGUUUGACCCAGUCAACACCUUUGUUGACUGGUGACGUCAUGCUGACGUCAUGCUGAUGCAGUAAUGCCAUUUUUGAAUUAAAUUAGUAAUAAUAAUUUAUAAAUUGAUUUAAAUAUUUAAAAAUGAAUAUAAAAUAAACCGUAACUCGGAUGAAAAUGUUUUGUACAUGAAAGUUGCUCAGAACAACGAGACGAAUCCGGAUACGCAGCCCGUUCGUCCGCCACACAUCCCUAGCAUAGCAAACUCACAACUUUUCCCUCCAAUUCAUCUGUCCGAAAACGCGAAACACAGGGAAUACUUUCCCGGAUGUUUUCCUCCUUCGCCGGUACCACCUCCUACCGCGUUAGGGCACACCUAGCACUGCGCAUUGUCAUGUCUUCUAUCGUCAUGCUUAUGUUUGCAUUAUAUUCAUUGUUUCUUCACCCUCUUCUCUCCGGUAGACUACGAGACCGACGUCGCUGCUGGUGCCCCGACCGACUACGCUGUUGACGACCCCUACUUGCCAGAGAAACCAGGCAAGCCCCCCCCCUUGAUCACCAGAUAUCGCCUAUUCUUCUCUAUACUGCUUGCAUUAGAGUAGUGUAGCAUGUUACUGCUUUCGGUUAAUCCUAUUCUGCUGCAUAGCCUGUCAUCGUUACAACAGUUGUUACCCUUACCUGCUAUCCUACUGCUUAGUAUAGGAUGCUAGUGUUCCAUCAGUGGCCCUACACUCUUGUCCGUCUGCCAUGCUAUACUACUGGGCCGUGAUCACUUCGGGAGGUGAUCACGGGUAUAUACUAUAUACUUUAUACAUGAUACAUGUGGUGACUAAAGUCGGGUCGGCUCGAGGAGUACCCGCGAGUGAUUCACGGAUUGGGGGCUGAAAGGACCUUUGUCCCGACGGCCCUCUGGGUGGAUCUUUGUGGCGGAGCGACAGGGCAGGUUGAGACCGCCUAGGUGAGAGGUGGGCCUGGCCCUGGUCGGUGUCCGCGGUUACAUCAAAUAACAUGCUUAACGAGUUCUUGGUAUUUGAUCUGAGUCUGGCCAUUUGGUUUAUGCGCACUAACCAACUACGCGGGAACAGUUAUGGGAACUCGACGUCGUGGUAUCAGUCGAAGCCUUCGUGACGUCAGCGACUGAGCGGCGCGCCCCAGAUUGGACUGGAACGCCUGCUAGGCUAGGUCUGCUUCCGGCCGCGUUCGCAACGUGCAGGUGUGCAAUGGGCGAUGGGCCCAGACCCCUGCGCCAUAGGAUUUAGACCGGCGUGCUGACCUCUCUGUUGUGCCUAGGUGGGGCUGCGACAUGUUGAUCUUCCGAGGCCGGGCAUGACCCAGGAAAGUGUGUCCGGCCAAAUGGGAUCGAGCGUGUUGGGUUAUGUGGUGCACACCUGCAGGGAAGUUUAUCUAUUCGAAUAGCCGUGUACCUUGGUAAAAGGACGACCCGGAGAUGUACCUUGACCUUAUGACAACUAGAACCGGAUACUUAAUAAAACACACCCUUCCAAGUGCCAGAUACAACCCGGUGAUCGCUCUCUAACAGGGCGACGAGGAGGGGAUCGCCGGGUAGGAUUAUGCUAUGCGAUGCUACUUGGUGAACUUACCAUCUACUCUCUUCUACAUGCUGCAAGAUGGAGGUGG
rnacentral:lncRNA from 1 species